GACGAACGCUGGCGGCGUGCUUAACACAUGCAAGUCGAACGGAAAGGCCCUGCUUUUGUGGGGUGCUCGAGUGGCGAACGGGUGAGUAACACGUGAGUAACCUGCCCUUGACUUUGGGAUAACUUCAGGAAACUGGGGCUAAUACCGGAUAGGAGCUCCUGCUGCAUGGUGGGGGUUGGAAAGUUUCGGCGGUUGGGGAUGGACUCGCGGCUUAUCAGCUUGUUGGUGGGGUAGUGGCUUACCAAGGCUUUGACGGGUAGCCGGCCUGAGAGGGUGACCGGCCACAUUGGGACUGAGAUACGGCCCAGACUCCUACGGGAGGCAGCAGUGGGGAAUAUUGCACAAUGGGCUGAAGCCUGAUGCAGCAACGCCGCGUGCGGUAUGACGGCCUUCGGGUUGUAAACCGCUUUCGCCUGUGACGAAGCGUGAGUGACGGUAAUGGGUAAAGAAGCACCGGCUAACUACGUG
rnacentral:rRNA from 1 species